UACGGAGGGUGCAAGCGUUAAUCGGAAUUACUGGGCGUAAAGCGUGCGCAGGCGGUUUGUUAAGUCCGCUGUGAAAUCCCCGAGCUCAACUUGGGAAUUGCAGUGGAUACUGGCAAGCUGGAGUAUGGUAGAGGAAGGUAGAAUUCCCGGUGUAGCAGUGAAAUGCGUAGAGAUCGGGAGGAACACCAGUGGCGAAGGCGGCCUUCUGGACCAAUACUGACGCUCAUGCACGAAAGCGUGGGGAGCAAACAGG
rnacentral:rRNA from 1 species